rnacentral:rRNA from 1 species
GACGUAGGUGGCGAACGUUAUCCGGAAUUAUUGGGCGUAAAGAGCUCGUAGGCGGUUUGUCGCGUCUGCUGUGAAAUCCUCAGGCUCAACCUGGGGCUUGCAGUGGGUACGGGCAGACUAGAGUGCGGUAGGGGUGACUGGAAUUCCUGGUGUAGCGGUGGAAUGCGCAGAUAUCAGGAGGAACACCGAUGGCGAAGGCAGGUCACUGGGCCGCAACUGACGCUGAGGAGCGAAAGCAUGGGGAGCGAACAGG